CCCUGGCCUCCCGACCAACCCUGCUGCUUCCCUCGGGGCCCUGUGCGGCAUGGGCUGCCUCAGGAAUUAUGGAGUAUAUAUGCAAAUACAGACGGAAUCACAGAGUGGUCUCAGGAAAUCCCCUCACACUCAGAAUGCACUGAUCACGAUCACUGAGACCUGUGCUGCACGGCAAGCCAUGCCCUCACCACCUUGAGAUUCACCUGCUGUCUCCCUCUGUCCUAUGCCCUGGCCUUGGAAUGCCCCAGUGUCCUUUACACUGCCCACAAGGAGGGGCUGGAGGUUUCCAGUUUGCAAGGCCCAGCUGCUCCACUUCCGAUCCAGCUCUCUGCUGUGGCCUGGGAAAGCAGUGGAGGAUGGCCCAAGUGCUUGGGCCACAGUGCCUGCAUGGGAGACCCAGAAGAAGCUCCUGGCUCCUGGCUUAGGAUCAGCACAGCUCUAGCCACUGCUGCCAUCUGGGGCGUAGACCAUCAAAUGGAAGACCUCUCUCUCUCUCUCUGUCUUUCCUCUCUCUCUGUAACUCUGACUUUCAAAUAAAUGAAUAAAUCUUCAAAUU